rnacentral:misc_RNA from 1 species
GAUGAAGAACGCAGCGAAAUGCGAUAAUUAAUGUGAAUUGCAGAAUUCCGUGAAUCAUCGAGUCUUUGAACGCACAUUGCGCCUCAUGGCAUUCCGUGAGGCAUGCCCAUCUCAGCGUUAGAAAAUAUUCUCAAAUUUUAGUUUUGUGCUAAAAUUUGGAUCAUGUCAAGGAAGCUAUUACUAUUAUUGUGAUCGCUCUUUGGAAAUUGAUAGGUCUUUGAGUUGCUACUCAUAGAACGUGAUGAAUCUUUCUUCGUUCUAUUGUAAUUCACUCUGGUAGUCCUAAAACUUGUAUGCCUGUGGCUUAUCUUGUAAUUUGACCUGAGAUUGGGUAGGGAUACCCGCUGAACUUAAGCAUAUCAAUAAGCGGAGGA